CUUGAUCGCAGCAGCAGCUGACAACAUCAGGGCGCCGGACAAGUUGAAUUAUUUCUGCUCACAGAUGGUAUUUGUGAAACCAGAGCAGCAGACCUCAGGAGAACAAAACUGCAUGCAAACAGCUUUAACUGAACCAAAGCUGAAUCCACACACGGCCAACAGCCGCAAAACGGUUCACAUUUUUACUCAAAUAAAACUUCUUAAAAUGA